AUUGAACGCUGGCGGCAGGCUUAACACAUGCAAGUCGAGCGGGGUGAUGGUGCUUGCACUAUCACUUAGCGGCGGACGGGUGAGUAAUGCUUAGGAAUCUGCCUAUUAGUGGGGGACAACAUCUCGAAAGGGAUGCUAAUACCGCAUACGUCCUACGGGAGAAAGCAGGGGAUCACUUGUGACCUUGCGCUAAUAGAUGAGCCUAAGUCGGAUUAGCUAGUUGGUGGGGUAAAGGCCUACCAAGGCGACGUUCUGUAGCGGGUCUGAGAGGAUGAUCCGCCACACUGGGACUGGGACACGGCCCAGACUCCUACGGGAGGCAGCAGUGGGGAAUAUUGGACAAUGGGGGGAACCCUGAUCCAGCCAUGCCGCGUGUGAAGAAGGCCUUAUGGUUGUAAAGCACUUUAAGCGAGGAGGAGGCUCUUUUGGUUAAUACCCAAGAUGAGUGGACGUUACUCGCAGAAUAAGCACCGGCUAACUCUGUGCCAGCCGCCGCGGUAA
rnacentral:rRNA from 1 species